rnacentral:rRNA from 1 species
UACGAAGGGGGCUAGCGUUGCUCGGAAUCACUGGGCGUAAAGGGCGCGUAGGCGGACUUUUUAAGUCAGGGGUGAAAUCCUGAGGCUCAACCUCAGAACUGCCUUUGAUACUGAGGGUCUCGAGACCGGUAGAGGUAAGUGGAACUGCGAGUGUAGAGGUGAAAUUCGUAGAUAUUCGCAAGAACACCAGCGGCGAAGGCG